rnacentral:rRNA from 1 species
UACAGAGGGUGCAAGCGUUAAUCGGAAUUACUGGGCGUAAAGCGCGCGUAGGUGGUUUGUUAAGUUGAAUGUGAAAUCCCCGGGCUCAACCUGGGAACUGCAUGCAAAACUGGCAAGCUAGAGUAUGGGUAGAAGGGUGGUGGAAUUUCCUGUGUAGCGGUGAAAUGCGUAGAUAUAGGAAGGAACACCAGUGGCGAAGGCGACCACCUGGACUGAUACUGACACUGAGGUGCGAAAGCUGGGGAG